UACAGGGGGUGCAAACGUUGCUCGGAAUCAUUGGGCGUAAAGCGCACGUAGGCGGUUCGUUAUGUCGGAUGUGAAAGCCCUUGGCUUAACCGAGGAAGUGCAUCCGAAACUGGCGAGCUAGAGUACGAAAGAGGAUCGCGGAAUUCCCGGUGUAGAGGUGAAAUUCGUAGAUAUCGGGAGGAACACCGGUGGCGAAGGCGGCGAUCUGGGUCGAUACUGACGCCGAGGUGCGAAAGCGUGGGGAGCAAACAGG
rnacentral:rRNA from 1 species